GUGCCCAGCAGCCGCGGUAAUACGUAGGGCGCGAGCGUUGUCCGGAAUUAUUGGGCGUAAAGAGCUUGUAGGCGGUUUGUCGCGUCUGCUGUGAAAGGCCGGAGCCUUAACUCCGUGUAUUGCAGUGGGUACGGGCAGACUAGAGUGCAGUAGGGGAGACUGGAAUUCCUGGUGUAGCGGUGGAAUGCGCAGAUAUCAGGAGGAACACCGAUGGCGAAGGCAGGUCUCUGGGCUGUAACUGACGCUGAGAAGCGAAAGCAUGGGGAGCGAACAGGAUUAGAUACCCUGGUAGUCC
rnacentral:rRNA from 1 species